CGGGAAAGGAGCUCGGCUAAGUGAGGGAGCUCCUAGACGGCACAAGUUGUGGCUGGCUUGGGCAGGCUGUGUGGCGGGAUGAUCCUGCACCUCAGAAAGCCCGCCAAGGGUCAGCUCCUCCCUAGGAACUGCUCAAGACCACACCUAUAAGAUGAAGGUGGGAGCUCUCAGCUUUUCGUGGCAGCUGCCACCAUGCCUGCUAACUGCCAUGCCUGCUGGCUGCCAUGCUUCCCAGCCUUGAUGGUGAUGGACUCUUCUCCCUCUCUAAGCACAAAUAAACUCUUCUAUUA